rnacentral:rRNA from 1 species
GACGAACGCUGGCGGCGCGCCUAACACAUGCAAGUCGAACGGAGUCACGAGGAGCUUGCUUUUCUUGACUUAGUGGCGAACGGGUGAGUAACGCGUGAGUAACCUGCCCUGGAGUGGGGGACAACAGUUGGAAACGACUGCUAAUACCGCAUAAGCCCACGGAUCCGCAUGGAUCUGCGGGAAAAGGAGUUAUUCGCUUCAGGAUGGACUCGCGUCCAAUUAGCUAGUUGGUGAGGUAACGGCCCACCAAGGCGACGACUGGUAGCCGGACUGAGAGGUUGAACGGCCACAUUGGGACUGAGACACGGCCCAGACUCCUACGGGAGGCAGCAGUGGGGGAUAUUGCACAAUGGGGGAAACCCUGAUGCAGCGACGCCGCGUGGAGGAAGAAGGUUUGCGGAUUGUAAACUCCUGUCGUUAGGGACGAUAAUGACGGUACCUAACAAGAAAGCACCGGCUAACUACGUG